rnacentral:misc_RNA from 1 species
AUAAUAUAAAAUAAAAAUAAAAAAUGCAAAAGAAAUGUGAAACAAAAAUUGAAAGAAAAAAUUAGAAAAAAUAAAAGGAGAAUAGCAUGACACUUGUUCAAGAAACAAUGCUUGCUCUUUGACAGGAGCAAAAUCAUUAGUUUUGUAGUGAUUUGAGGUGUAGAAUGGUCCAAAUACUAUUUUUUAGAACAGUAAAUCAAAGUUGUGUAUUGGUAUAUAUAUUAGUGUUUGUCAUAACUUUUUAAACUACAAAAUUAUGGUGUUUCUUGUGUUUGAGGCCUCUUGGUUGGUAACCCAUUUUUUCAUCUUAGAAGAAAUUUAUUUAUUGAACCUGGUGCAAUUAUUUGUAGAACUUGCUAACUAUUUCAUAUGCAUUGUGUUUAAGAGCCCUUGCAUAGGAUCGUGUUAUAGGUCGUUGGACAAGAUAAUCCUCUUCGGAAGGAAUUGAAUUUCUGAUAGCAUUUCCGCCUUUGUGUGAAGAACCUAUUGUGCCUUAAUGUAGAGCUUGUUUGAGGGAGCUUUAGAACCUCUUGAUAAUUUGUGAAAAUAAUUUUGCUUGAAUUUUAUUCAUAAUAUGUCUCCUUAAAUAGAGAUUACAACAUAGAGGUCUUAUUCCAUAAUAGGAAUGUACAAUCAAGAUUUAAAAAUAAAAUAAAGAGACUUCUAAAAAUAGCUCCUCAAUUUAAGAAGAUUGUUGCAAAUUAGCUACUACCCUUGCUAUCUCGCUUGUUGUUGAUUUAGUUAUUGCCAACUUUAUUGUUCUUGACUUAUUUAUCAUGUGGCCCACGCAUCUCAUAGGACUUGUUUAUGAAUGCAUCUCUAACAUUACUCCCCUCAGGGAAAAAGAGCUUGUUCUCAAGUUUGAAGUCUUGAUAAGCUUUGUGGAAUGAGGCACUACUUCCCAGGUUGCAUGAAAUGGAGGCAUGCUGCACCAGUGAACUAAGACCUCGCAAAUUCCUAGCCUAUCCUCAACAGGUGGCAAAGCUGGUGAAGUUGUGGGUGGCUCGCCUUUAAAAGCUUUGAGCUAAGACAUGUGGAAAACAUUAUGUAAUAUUUGGCGAUAGCUCCAAUUGGUAAGCAACUUGCCUAAUCUUGCGUAGCACCUUAAAAGGUCCAUAAAACCAACAAGUAAGCUUGUGGCAAAGCUUCCUAACAAUAGAUUUCUAGUGAUAGAGAUGCAAUCGCUGCUAGACAAGUGAACCUAGGGCAAAUUCUAAGUCACAAUGCCCUUUGUCAUAUUGUUCCUUCAUUUGGUGUUGAGCUUGUUGAGGUGAAGAUGAAUCUCUUGCAGAACCAUAUCUUGUUCAAGCAAAGCAUUAUUGACCACAUCCAUGCGGGAAGAACCAUCAACAUAAGAUAAUAAAUGGGGUGGUUCACGGCCAUACACAAUCUUAAAAGGUGAAGUAAGAAGAAAUGUAUGAAAGAGGUGUGAUAACAUUAUUUUGCCCAUGAAAGCCAUGCAACCCACCGGUUUGGCUUAUCUCCAAACCAUUUCAAUUGUACGAUAUACCACCUCUGUUUAGCCAUUUGUUUGCGGGUGAUAAGCGGAGGAGAAGGCCAUCUUUGUACCACAUAAGCGACAAAGCUCCUUCUAAAAAUUACUUGUAAAAACAUCUCUACCACAUUCAAUGGACUCGGGUAAGCCAUGUAAUUUGACAAUAUGCUCAAAGAAUGUAUCAGCCACACUAAGGGUAGUAUAAAGGUGAGCCUACAGAAUAAAAUGAAUAUACUUUGAGAAGUGAUCAACCAUAAUAAACAUGAUAAUUUUCCCCCAUAAUUUAAGUAAGACAUCAAUGAAAUCCAUUGAGAUGUCGGCCCAAAUUUUGAGUUGGAAUGGCUAGAGGUUGGAGUAAGCCUGCUGGAUAUAAAUGUUCAGCCUUACUAUCCUUGUAAGUUGGACAUGUUGCUACAUAUUCUUGUACCAUCAAUUUCAUGCCUUUCCAAUAAAAGUCAGUGCACCCACUACAAGGUUUUGUGCACACCCUCCUGUGUACCAUCAAUUCCUGCUUAAAUGUCUCGUCUUGUACUGCACUCAAAAAUCAAAGCCCAUGAGUUUGCUAAUCCAAUGUUGUUGGAGUGAAGUGGGAAGGCUCUGUUCUAAUAGGUAAUUCAAACUAAAGUAAUUGGUGCAGAUAAUAAAUGCUCGCCCCCAUAAUAUGGGCACCAAUGCUGUACAACCUUGGCCAAACCAAUGAAUUCUUGCUCAUAAGCUAGUAGUUUUAGUUGUCUCUCUGCCAAUUUUCGACUGAAAAAGGCUAUAGGAUGCCUUUGUUGUUGCAGAACCGCAUAUGUGCCACUCCUAGCUGCAUCACACCCGAUUAUAAACUCA